CCGGGAGCUGGCUCUGGGCUCUGCGCUUCCCGGGCCGCGCGGGGAACCAGAAAGUCUGAGCGAUCUUCUACCAAAUGCAGCCGCUGGGGAAGCCUCCUCCACCGAAUCCUCCCAGAGCCGUGGAAUUGUGUUCGGAGGAGCCGCGCCGAGGUAAGAGCCACUCAGGACUUCCCACCUCAGGAAAAAAAGGUGAAGAAAACAGCUGCAGUCACAGCCAGUAUUCCAGAGCAGCCUCGGGUCUCCUGUCAAGACCUGCCUCGGGAAGGUGUGGCUGUGGGGCUGGAUGGCCAGGCCUGUUUCUGGGGCUGGCGCCUGGCAACAGGAAAAUGACAAAUACUGAGGACUGAGGCACAAGGCCCAGAAUCGGCUACUAAACCAACCGAGUGUCCUUGUACAAGUCAUUUCACCUCUUGUGCCUCCAUUUCUUCACUUAGAAAAGAAGUGUUGGGACAAUGCUAAGUGUUUGCAACCUUCUGAUAUGAAGACCUCU
rnacentral:lncRNA from 1 species